UUAAAUUAUAUGCAACAUUCUCUGACUGGAAGAAAUUUGUUUAACAUUUAAACCUAUUUUCUGCACAUUCCAGCACAUAAAAUAAAAUAUUUUUUUGUGUUUACACUCACUCUUUCAAAUAGAUGCAAGUAAAACACAGCAGAAAAUAAAUAAAAUCAAAGACUAGCGGUCCUGUUGCUCUAUUUUCACCUGUAAAGCAGGACUGGGGUAGGCGGAGGAGGUUUACCCUGGUGCAGGUGCUGCAGCGGUCAGUGGAAGAAUCCGCGAGUUUCUCUGUGAAUUUCACAUUACGUCGUAGCGCACUCGGUGCUUGCUUGGAAGUUUAGGGGUUUUUUUGCUGUAAAAAGAAGUUUUCUUCCCACGCACAACGGACACUAAUGUUUUUGUCACUUUUUAUGGAAUCAAACUCAAAAUAAGACAUGGCUGGUAAGGACAUGAGGAGGAAACAGUAGGAGCUGUGUGAGGCUACUAAAGGCAGUGGAUCCCUCAGCAGCUGGAUUACAAAGAGCACAGUCUCAGAUCAACACAGCCCUGCCUUCCAGCACUAUCAGCAGCAGGAGCAGCAGCAACCCCUCAACAGCAACAUUGUACCCAUCAGCUUUGAGCACCCGCCCCUAUAAACGUCUCUGCACGGCCCUGAUCCUGAAUCCUCAUGCCGCAUUGCUCAUGAUGCAUCCAUAGGUGUGUAAGUCUGCAUUAGAUGCGGACACACCACAACAAGUC
ensembl:lncRNA